GGGCCGUUAGCUCAGUUGGUAGAGCAGUGGACUUUUAAUCCAUUGGUCGAAGGUUCGAGUCCUUCACGGCCCACCA
rnacentral:tRNA from 2 species